rnacentral:lncRNA from 1 species
CAACAGAAAAAUCUGGUUCUGCUGGCUUCUGCAAAGAAUUGAGCACUUCAUUGGCACCUUUCCUAGUGCUCCUUGCCACCCUUGUUGCAUACACAUCUAAGCCUGAUCCUGGUGAUGUUGGUUUUUGAAGCUCAACAUUUUUUGCAUUUGCCUUGUUCCUCAAUUCAGCAGCAUCCUUCUUUUUCUUGUGUCGUCUCCACGCGGCUUGAACGAAACAUGCAGCCCAUGUUCUCCAAUGAUGUGAGUAAAACCUGAACCUAUGCCUAAGUUGUUUACUAUGCAGCCUUCUAUAUUGAGAUGCAACAAACUUUAGAUCCUCUGCUAUGAGUGCAAAUGCCUCUACUUCUGAGAUGGCUUUAACUGUUCUAGUGGAAUAAGGGAGUAUCACACUUGGUCUUGGGUCUAAUGCCCAUGUUAAUAGCUCCUCACCACAGAAAUCGCCUGGCCCGAUUCGGCACGAGUUGAAGAAUCCAGCACGGCCACCAUUUGUUGUGUAAGAAUCAAGAUGCCCGCGAAUUAUGAAGAGCAUCUCGUUCACAGGAUCACCCUCGCGAACAAGAUACGUGCCUUCGGUUGACAAUGCAGGCUUUAGCC